rnacentral:lncRNA from 1 species
GCACUCAGGAAAUGACUGGAGAAAUAUGACCAAUGAUAUAGCAAAUAUAUCUACAAUUACUCACAGGAGUCACUAAAGCAGGUUUUACUCCUUUGUAAAUGUCUCUUCCUUGUAGCUCAAAGCAUCAGUUCCUAAUGGCAUAUGUCUUUCUUCUUUCAUCUAAUAUACCAUGAGAAUAAUAACAGUAGUAGUUUCAGAAAUACCGAAUUACAUUUAUGCAAUACUGUAAAAUUUACAAAGUUGAGCAUAGGAAUUCAUGCUUGAAAAAAUAUUAAUUCUGGACAAGUGAUUAGUCAGGUAGGAUGACAGGAUUUGGAAAUGAGGGAGUGAGUAUUGGUCAUAAAUGAACAAAUAUCUCAUUGGGCACGUUGGCGGUCCUGCUCUUGGAGAAAAGCUGCCAUUCCACACUGCAAUACUCUGGAAUGCCUCAGAACCUUCCUUUGCAAAUUAGAACAGGGAUAGAGGGAAGGGUCAUUCAGAAUUUGGAGCUAAUUAGAUCAUCUAGCCAAUAGGAGAAAUGUUAGAAAGAACGGACACUUUUUUUUGUAAUCCUAACUUGCACCAUGCACUGCUUUUGUGAACGGGCCUGAAGAACUCCUUGAAGGGAACAUGACACAAACCUCAGUGGAAGCUAUUUAGCUCUGUUCCCAGGACCGUGCCAACAGCCUAGUGCCAGCGAAAACUGUCUCUGUCCCCACAAGUCCAGCACUUGGCAGGCGCCACCUGACCCUCUGCCU